rnacentral:rRNA from 1 species
GACGGGGACCCGCACAAGCGGUGGAUGAUGUGGUUUAAUUCGAUGCAACGCGAAAACCUUACCCACCUUUGACAUGUACGGAAUCCUUUAGAGAUAGAGGAGUGCUCGAAAGAGAACCGUAACACAGGUGCUGCAUGGCUGUCGUCAGCUCGUGUCGUGAGAUGUUGGGUUAAGUCCCGCAACGAGCGCAACCCUUGUCAUUAGUUGCUACAUUCAGUUGGGCACUCUAAUGAGACUGCCGGUGACAAACCGGAGGAAGGUGGGGAUGACGUCAAGUCCUCAUGGCCCUUAUAGGUGGGGCUACACACGUCAUACAAUGGAUGGUACAAAGGGUCGCCAACCCGCGAGGGGGAGCCAAUCCCAUAAAGCCAUUCGUAGUCCGGAUCGCAGUCUGCAACUCGACUGCGUGAAGUCGGAAUCGCUAGUAAUCGUGGAUCAGAAUGUCACGGUGAAUACGUUCCCGGGUCUU